UACGUAGGGGGCAAGCGUUGUCCGGAAUCAUUGGCGUAAAGCGCGUGUAGGCGGUCCGGUAAGUCCGCUGUGAAAGUCGGGGGCUCAACCCUCGGAUGCCGGUGGAUACUGUCGGGCUUGAGUACGGAAGAGGCGAGUGGAAUUCCUGGUGUAGCGGGUGAAAUGCGCAGAUAUAGGAGGAACACCAAUUGCGCAAAGGGC
rnacentral:rRNA from 1 species